CCUUUGACCACUCCACUUUCUGGUUGAAGGAACAUACAAAAAGGAGGAAAAGUUCAAGCCCUGGCUGGGGCUGCGGCAGUGUGGAGACCUGUCGUAAAGCGGCGCAUCCCACAGCGGAUGGCCGCGAACGCACAGCAAGCGGAGGCUCUGUGUGUACAGCCGGAAAACAUGGCA
rnacentral:ncRNA from 1 species